GUUGUUGACAUAUAGGCUAUUAGUGCAGAACCAAUACUGCCAAAGCAAUAACAUUUCUGAUAGAAACAUAUUGUGUGUUGAUAUGUGGUGAAAACCUGCAAGAAAUAUUGGGUAAACAAAUUUGGGCAAUAGCUGGAUAGAAACACACUCUAUUCAGUUUUU
rnacentral:sRNA from 12 species